GACGAACGCUGGCGGCGUGCUUAACACAUGCAAGUCGAACGAAGAGCGAUGGAAGCUUGCUUCUAUCAAUCUUAGUGGCGCACGGGUGAGUAACGCGUAAUCAACCUGCCCUUCAGAGGGGUACAACAGUUGGAAACGACUUCUAAUACCGCAUACGAUCUAAUCUCGUCAUCGAGGAUAGAUGAAAGGUGGCCUCUACAUGUAAGCUAUCACUGAAGGAGGGGAUUGCGUCUGAUUAGCUAGUUGGAGGGGUAACGGCCCACCAAGGCGAUGAUCAGUAGCCGGUCUGAGAGGAUGAACGGCCACAUUGGGGCUGAGACACGGCCCAGACUCCUACGGGAGGCAGCAGUGGGGAAUCUUCCGCAAUGGACGAAAGUCUGACGGAGCAACGCCGCGUGAGUGAUGACGGCCUUCGGGUUGUAAAGCUCUGUUAAUCGGGACGAAAGGCCUUCUUGCGAAUAGUGAGAAGGAUUGACGGUACCGGAAUAGAAAGCCACGGCUAACUACGUG
rnacentral:rRNA from 1 species